GUGCCAGCAGCCGCGGUAAUACGAAGGGGGCGAGCGUUGUUCGGAUUUACUGGGCGUAAAGGGCGCGUAGGCGGCGCCGGAAGUCGAGUGUGAAAGCCCCGGGCUCAACCUGGGAGGUGCGCUCGAGACUCUGGUGCUUGAGUUCGGGAGAGGAGAGUGGAAUUCCCAGUGUAGAGGUGAAAUUCGUAGAUAUUGGGAAGAACACCAGUGGCGAAGGCGGCUCUCUGGACCGAGACUGACGCUGAGGCGCGAAAGCGUGGGGAGCAAACAGGAUUAGAUACCCUGGUAGUCC
rnacentral:rRNA from 1 species